rnacentral:lncRNA from 1 species
GCCCACCUGGCCCAUCCCCAGGCCCUGCGGCAUCUCCCCCUGAGGAUCUGGAAGUGAAAUCAGGCCUCUGGAAGCUGCUGGGGAUGUGGGGAGGGGAGGAGAAGGCUGAGCUUCCUCAGGCUCAGAUCUGGUUUCGCGGCUGCUUCCCCUGGCGCAGUGCCACAGGCUGAGCCUCCAGCUGUGCUAUAUAAGGCCUGGUGGCUGGCCUGCUGGAGAGAGGAAAACUCGGACCCCCCAGCUGAGGAGUCCCGCUCAAGACACGGUCACUGAUCUGAGAAACUUCUCAGGGAUUGCAUUCCAGGGACGCCAACUCUGUGAAGGAACCCUUACUCAGCUCCUGCCACGUUCCCCACAGGACCGGGGAAAAGAUGGCAGGGGCGAAGGCCUGCACGUUCUUCUUCCUAGUUCUGCAGAUCACCUCAGCGUUGGGUACAGGCUAAGUAUCUCCUGUCUCUCUAAGCUGCUACUUGCCAUAGGAAAGUCACAUUUGGUCUGGGACCCAACUCUGCACCUGCCUUAAACUAUAGCUGUGGCACUAAGACCCGAGGCUGGUUUAUCUUUUUAUUCAUAGUUUAUACCCUGCUUGUUUUCCUAAAGGGUUUGAGAUAGGUCCCAAUAUAAAAACUCACAGGACAGAAUCUUCUAAAUGAGGAGAGGGAUAAGAUGUCACUCAGAAGGAGGAAGAGGGUUACCACUGCCCCCUCAGUGCUGAAUUUAGCUCUGAGCUUCCUGACAGCCAAAGCAAAAGGAAUCCCUGAGUUCUCACAUCCGGAUUUAGGGUGAGAUCUGAUUUUAGCUUCAUGAAAAUUCAUUUUGACCCUGUAGCCGAAUUUCACAGAGACACUAGAACCCCUUCUGGUCUCCUUGUCCUCAGACCCCAUUCUCUGGUGACUCUGAGUUCACCAGGGAACAGGUGGAGAGAAUUUGCCACGUGGGCUCCCCGAGGCAUCUGAGCAUCAGAGCUCACAGCACCAGGCUGCAUACUCUCUCCCACCUCCCUUUCUUUUCCUGAUUUCUAGCUGCAUACUCAGGUAAAGCAAAAAAUGCUCAGAAUUCUCUCUCAGAGCUAUGAGCACUGCGGGCUUUGUGACUGCAGAUGCGGGAACAGAGGCUGUCCGAGCAGCUUGCCAAACCCUCUAUGGGCCCAUCUCCUGCCUUGCUCUUUCUGCCUGACAGCUCUUGUUGAUGAAGAUAAUUAACAUUCAGCAAUCUGAAGGGAAAUCAUAUUAGUUUGAAUAAAAGAGCUACUAUCACCCCCA